GAUGAACGCUGGCGGCGUGCCUAAUACAUGCAAGUCGAGCGAACAGACGAGGAGCUUGCUCCUCUGACGUUAGCGGCGGACGGGUGAGUAACACGUGGAUAACCUACCUAUAAGACUGGGAUAACUUCGGGAAACCGGAGCUAAUACCGGAUAAUAUAUUGAACCGCAUGGUUCAAUAGUGAAAGACGGUUUUGCUGUCACUUAUAGAUGGAUCCGCGCCGCAUUAGCUAGUUGGUAAGGUAACGGCUUACCAAGGCAACGAUGCGUAGCCGACCUGAGAGGGUGGUCGGCCACACUGGAACUGGGACACGGUCCAGACUCCUACGGGAGGCAGCAGUAGGGAAUCUUCCGCAAUGGGCGAAAGCCUGACGGAGCAACGCCGCGUGAGUGAUGAAGGUCUUCGGAUCGUAAAACUCUGUUAUUAGGGAAAAACAAAUGUGUAAGUAACUAUGCACGUCUUGACGGUACCUAAUCAGAAAGCCACGGCUAACUACGUG
rnacentral:rRNA from 1 species